rnacentral:rRNA from 1 species
UACGUAAAAAGACUAGUGUUAUUCAUCUUUAGUAGGUUUAAAGGGUACCUAGACGGUAUAAUUAGUCUUAAACAAGAAAACGGUUAUGCUAGAGUUAUAUAUAAGAAGGGGAGUAUUUAUGGAGUAGAGUUGAAAUUCUUUGAUCCCAUAACGACUGGUAACGGCGAAAGCAACCUUUUAUCUAAUAACUGACGUUGAGGGACGAAGGCUCGGGUCACGAAUAGG